rnacentral:rRNA from 1 species
UAAUACAUGCAAGUCGAACGCUUUUUCUUUCACCGGAGCUUGCUCCACCGAAAGAAAAAGAGUGGCGAACGGGUGAGUAACACGUGGGUAACCUGCCCAUCAGAAGGGGAUAACACUUGGAAACAGGUGCUAAUACCGUAUAACACUAUUUUCCGCAUGGAAGAAAGUUGAAAGGCGCUUUUGCGUCACUGAUGGAUGGACCCGCGGUGCAUUAGCUAGUUGGUGAGGUAACGGCUCACCAAGGCAACGAUGCAUAGCCGACCUGAGAGGGUGAUCGGCCACACUGGGACUGAGACACGGCCCAGACUCCUACGGGAGGCAGCAGUAGGGAAUCUUCGGCAAUGGACGAAAGUCUGACCGAGCAACGCCGCGUGAGUGAAGAAGGUUUUCGGAUCGUAAAACUCUGUUGUUAGAGAAGAACAAGGAUGAGAGUAAAAUGUUCAUCCCUUGACGGUAUCUAACCAGAAAGCCACGGCUAACUACGUGCCAGCAGCCGCGGUAAUACGUAGGUGGCAAGCGUUGUCCGGAUUUAUUGGGCGUAAAGCGAGCGCAGGCGGUUUCUUAAGUCUGAUGUGAAAGCCCCCGGCUCAACCGGGGAGGGUCAUUGGAAACUGGGAGACUUGAGUGCAGAAGAGGAGAGUGGAAUUCCAUGUGUAGCGGUGAAAUGCGUAGAUAUAUGGAGGAACACCAGUGGCGAAGGCGGCUCUCUGGUCUGUAACUGACGCUGAGGCUCGAAAGCGUGGGGAGCGAACAGGAUUAGAUACCCUGGUAGUCCACGCCGUAAACGAUGAGUGCUAAGUGUUGGAGGGUUUCCGCCCUUCAGUGCUGCAGC